GAGGCGGUGGCACGCUCCGACGCUUCCCGCCCCCGCGGCCCCGAGGGCGGCUCCCGGCCCCGGCGAGGGCUCUGCUGCCGGUCAGCGGAGCGGAGAGCGGUGGGGCUGCGGCAGCGGUUCCCGUGCACGGGGUCUUUUUCUCCUGGCGGAAAUGACGAGGCGGCUCCCGUCACCCGAAACUAUCUCCCAGAGCGAUGAGAAGCGGCACCCGAAGGCUGCCCGGGGCGGGGGGAGGCUGGGAUGAUUCGCUAGGUGCGGGGGGAUGAGCACCUGCUGCUGCCCGGCCGGGGGCACCGCGCCGGGGGCGAGCGGGGAGCGCAGCCAGGGGGACCGUGCUGCUGUUCGCUUGGGUUUUUUGUGCUUUUUCUUUUUUUCUUCCUUUAAAAAAUCGUCUCUGCGUGGGUGGUAAAGGUUGUUUUCUUUUUUUUCUUCCUUCCCUUUUUUUUUUUUUUUUUUUUUUUUUUUCCCCUCUGAGGAAAGCCAGGCUGUUAAGUGUCGGUGAUGGAUGGCGGUUUUUACCAAGCACUUCCGAAGAGCCCCGAGAGGAGAGGGCGUUACUUCGCUGCCUCACCCCGAGGGAGAGGUGAUGGGGCACAGCGGCUUGAGGACCAGCGGCAGGCUCAGGGGUAAGAAGUCCAAAGGAGAGCUGAAUGACUUUGCAUACUGACCUUCUUAAACUAAAGUGUCUCAGCUAAAGUGCCUUCACCGAAGUUUUUCAGCUGUUUUCAUCUUUUAGUUGAGUGGCUCUCAUCUUGCAGUCACACCUGCAUGAGUCAGGCCUUUUAUGUAUAGCAUAUGGGGCAGGCUUCUGCACAGAUGCUGAACUGCAGAAUUAUGUCCUAACUCAUCUUUUAUCAUUACUCUGGUCUGUAUAAUGCAUUAAAAAUGACUGUGGUGUA